rnacentral:rRNA from 1 species
AGGAAGUAAAAGUCGUAACAAGGUCUCCGUUGGUGAACCAGCGGAGGGAUCAUUGCUGGAACGCGCUUCGGCGCACCCAGAAACCCUUUGUGAACUUAUACCUAUUGUUGCCUCGGCGCAGGCCGGCCUCUUCACUGAGGCCCCCUGGAAACAGGGAGCAGCCCGCCGGCGGCCAACCAAACUCUUGUUUCUAUAGUGAAUCUCUGAGUAAAAAACAUAAAUGAAUCAAAACUUUCAACAACGGAUCUCUUGGUUCUGGCAUCGAUGAAGAACGCAGCGAAAUGCGAUAAGUAAUGUGAAUUGCAGAAUUCAGUGAAUCAUCGAAUCUUUGAACGCACAUUGCGCCCUCUGGUAUUCCGGAGGGCAUGCCUGUUCGAGCGUCAUUUCAACCCUCAAGCCUGGCUUGGUGAUGGGGCACUGCCUGUAAAAGGGCAGGCCCUGAAAUCUAGUGGCGAGCUCGCCAGGACCCCGAGCGUAGUAGUUAUAUCUCGCUCUGGAAGGCCCUGGCGGUGCCCUGCCGUUAAACCCCCAACUUCUGAAAAUUUGACCUCGGAUCAGGUAGGAAUACCCGCUGAACUUAAGCAUAUCAAUAAGGAGAAA